rnacentral:rRNA from 1 species
GACGAACGCUGGCGGCGUGCUUAACACAUGCAAGUCGAACGAAGAGCGAUGGAAGCUUGCUUCUAUCAAUCUUAGUGGCGAACGGGUGAGUAACGCGUAAUCAACCUGCCCUUCAGAGGGGGACAACAGUUGGAAACGACUGCUAAUACCGCAUACGAUCUAAUCUCGGCAUCGAGGAUAGAUGAAAGGUGGCCUCUACAUGUAAGCUAUCACUGAAGGAGGGGAUUGCGUCUGAUUAGCUAGUUGGAGGGGUAACGGCCCACCAAGGCGAUGAUCAGUAGCCGGUCUGAGAGGAUGAACGGCCACAUUGGGACUGAGACACGGCCCAGACUCCUACGGGAGGCAGCAGUGGGGAAUCUUCCGCAAUAGACGAAAGUCUGACGGAGCAACGCCGCGGGAGUGAUGACGGCCUUCGGGUCGUAAAGCUCUGUUAAUCGGGACGAAAGGCCUUCUUGCGAAUAGUGAGAAGGAUUGACGGUACCGGAAUAGAAAGCCACGGCUAACUACGUG